CACCAUUUCAAAUAUUCCCGCCCUUGGCUGUGUUCUUUAUAGGCUCUCUAUACAAAUGACGUCCAUCUUGAAAUCCAUUCCUAGCAACAUCAACCUCUCGUCCGACCUCUAUUAAUUGUUCUGUUACCGAGUGAAAGACCCGUUAGAUAAGGAGCAGAAGACGCCUAUCAGCUGCGUCCGACGUGACGAUGCGAUCUCGAGACGCGAGGCUUAGAAAAAUACUGCUGUAAAUCAUGGCGGCCUUCUGAUCGAAAUAGAUUUGCGAAUAUACUUGUGUGACGUCACAGGAGACCCCCGCGUGGCAACAUGGCGACCGAGCGUCUUGCGUCUGUGUCUCUUUAAAAAUAAAACUUCCUAGGGACGUAGACCGAUCGCACGUGUCUCAGAGACAACCUGGAUCCUUUUCAUGAUCGACACUUCAAUCACUGUCUGUGCCUUGUCCAAUUCACAACGUCGCUGUGGAAGCACUUUUCCCUUUGACUAUUAAUACAAUACUUAGAGACGCUCUGUAACCUUAUUCAUUCUCAAAGGAGAGAAGCGGUUCGUCGAACCGGGAAAGUGACUAUGAAGUUUAAAGAUUUCCAGCCUUGAUAUCCUUGGGUGCUCAUGGGAGGAAAUACAAAUAAUUGCUAAUUCCUUGUUUGUUCUGCAAGGAGUAGGACUGAGGUCGAUUUUUGUGAUACGUAUUAAAGGCGGGUACACAAGUAAGUUCGUGAAUUAUUUUUGUGCUGCGGACGUAAAUGGCGUCGUGUUUUUAGUUACAGAAAAAACAGUGUGGCGCUGCUGUCGGGACGUGUAAUAGAAAGCGGAUCAUAAAAGCUGUGAUGGUGCCAGAGAAACGUUUUAUUAUUAAACAUAAUAAACGUCAUACG